rnacentral:misc_RNA from 1 species
GAUGAAGAACGUAGCGAAAUGCGAUAAGUAAUGUGAAUUGCAGAAUUCAGUGAAUCAUCGAAUCUUUGAACGCACAUUGCGCCCGCCAGUAUUCUGGCGGGCAUGCCUGUUCGAGCGUCAUUACAACCCUCAAGCCCCCCGGCUUGGUGUUGGGGACCGGCCACCGGUGCCCUGCUGCUUCCACGGCAGGCGCGCCCGGCCGCCCCCGAAAUGAAUUGGCGGCCCCGUCGCGGCCUCCCUCUGCGUAGUAGCACACAUCUCGCAGCUGGAGCGCGGCGCGGCCACUGCCGUAAAACGCACCAACUUUUUUUUACAGUUGACCUCGAAUCAGGUAGGAAUACCCGCUGAACUUAAGCAUAUCAAUAAGCGGAGGA